GUGAUACAAGACACAUUUGUUUUUUUUUUUUUCCUCUCAUAUUCUCUUCCGGUGGUUUUACCCCUGCGAUCACUGUAUCUAUUCUUAGUACCCUGGAUACUGUAUAUAAGUGUAUUAGAACGAGGGAAGGGAAAGGGAAUACCAAACUCUAAAGACAAAUGAUAAAAAGACAAUCCAUUUCAAAAGCAAUACUUACAA